rnacentral:rRNA from 1 species
CAGUCGCCACGGGAAUACGGAGGGAGCUAGCGUUGUCCGGAAUUACUGGGCGUAAAGCGCGCGUAGGCGGUUACUCAAGUCAGAGGUGAAAGCCCGGGGCUCAACCCCGGAACUGCCUUUGAAACUAGGUGACUAGAAUCUUGGAGAGGUCAGUGGAAUUCCGAGUGUAGAGGUGAAAUUCGUAGAUAUUCGGAAGAACACCAGUGGCGAAGGCGACUGACUGGACAAGUAUUGACGCUGAGGUGCGAAAGCGUGGGGAGCAAACAGGAUUAGAUACCCCUGUAGUCCCUGUCUCUUAUAC